AAUUAGGGACAGCCUGCAAGCGCACUGCAAAGCCGUGUUAAGACCCCGAAACGAGUAAGGACCCCUCACCCUAUUUCCUAUCACGGUAUUAAAGCUCAAAAUGAUAAAACGGUAUUUCUUGAAUUAACGAAUGUGUGAAAUUGCUUAAGGUUGCUAAUGGAGCCCGAGUCUAGUGUGAUCGAUGAUUUACUGUUAUUUGGCCUGUUUUACAGUAUGAGGUUU
rnacentral:lncRNA from 1 species